UACGGAGGGGGCUAGCGUUGUUCGGAAUUACUGGGCGUAAAGAGUACGUAGGCGGUUAUUCAAGUCAGAGGUGAAAGCCUGGAGCUCAACUCCAGAACUGCCUUUGAAACUAGAUAGCUAGAAUCACGGAGAGGUUAGUGGAAUUCCGAGUGUAGAGGUGAAAUUCGUAGAUAUUCGGAAGAACACCAGUGGCGAAGGCGACUAACUGGACGUGUAUUGACGCUGAGGUGCGAAAGCGUGGGGAGCAAACAGG
rnacentral:rRNA from 1 species